rnacentral:rRNA from 1 species
GACAGAGGGUGCAAACGUUGUUCGGAAUCACUGGGCGUAAAGCGCGUGUAGGCGGCAAUGCAAGUCGGAUGUGAAAUCCCCGCGGCUCAACCGUGGAAGUGCACCCGAAACUGCAUAGCUAGAGUGUCGGAGAGGAAGGUGGAAUGCUUGGUGUAGAGGUGAAAUUCGUAGAUAUCAAGCGGAACACCGGUGGCGAAGGCGGCCUUCUGGACGACGACUGACGCUGAGACGCGAAAGCGUGGGUAGCAAACAGG